GAGGUGUUAGUAAAAUAUUAUACUGCCUUGUCAAGGCAGAAUUGUAGGUGAAACCCCUGCACACCUUA
rnacentral:tRNA from 1 species